rnacentral:lncRNA from 1 species
GUAAGCCUUUUCUUUUCAAGAUGCCUGAGGAAGUGCACCAUGGAGAGGAGGAGGUGGAGACUUUUGCCUUUCAGGCAGAAAUUGCCCAACUCAUAUCCCUCAUCAUCAAUACCUUCUAUUCCAACGAGGAGAUUUUCCUUCAGGAGUUGAUCUCUAAUGCUUCUGAUGCCUUGGACAAGAUUCGCUAUGAGAGCCUGACAGACCCUUCAAAGUUGGACAGUGGUAAAGAGCUGAAAAUUGACAUCAUCCCCAACCCUCAGGAACGUACCCUGGCUUUGGUAGACACAGGCAUUGGCAUGACCAAAGCUGAUCUCAUAAAUAAUUUGAGAACCAUUGCCAAGUCUGGUACUAAAGCAUGCAUGGAGGCUCUUCAGGCUGGUGCAGACAUCUCCAUGAUUGGGCAGUUUGGUGUUGGCUUUUUUCUGCCUACCUGGUGGCAGAGAAACUGGUUGUGAUCACAAAGCACAACGAUGAUGAACAGUAUGCUUGGGAGUCUUCUGCUGGAGGUUCCUUCACUGUGCAUGCUGAUCAUGGUGAGCCCAUUGGCAGGGGUACCAAAGUGAUCCUCCAUCUUAAAGAAGAUCAGACAGAGUACUUAGAAGAGAGGCGGGUCAAAGAAGUAGUGAAGAAGCAUUCUCAGUUCAUAGGCUAUCCCAUCACCCUUUAUUUGGAGAAGGAACAAGACAAGGAAAUUAGUGAUGAUGAGGCAGAAGAAGAGAAAGGUGAGAAAGAAGAGGAAGAUAAAGAUGACGAAGAAAAGCCCAAGAUCAAAGAUGUGGGUUCAGAUGAGGAGGAUGACAGCAGUAAGGAUAAGAAGAAGAAAACUAAGAAGAUCAAAGAGAAAUACAUUGACUAGGAAGAACUAAACAAGACCAAGCCUAUUUGGACCAGAAACCAUGAUGACAUCACCCAAGAGGAGUAUGGAGAAUUCUAUAAGAGCCUCACCAGUGACUGGGAAGACCACUUGGCAGUCAAGCACUUUUCUGUAGAAGGUCAGUUGGAAUUCAGGGCAUUGCUAUUCAGUCCUCGUCGGGCUCCCUUUGACCUUUUUGAGAACAAGAAGAAAAAGAACAACAUCAAACUGUAUGUCCGCCGUGUGUUCAUCAUGGACAGCUGUGAUGAGUUGAUACCAGAGUAUCUCAAUUUUAUCCAUGGUGUGGUUGACUCUGAGGAUCUGCCCCUGAACAUCUCCCGAGAAAUGCUCCAGCAGAGCAAAAUCUUGAAAGUCAUUCGCAAAAACAUUGUUAAGAAGUGCCUUGAGCUCUUCUCUGAGCUGGCAGAAGACAAGGAGAUUAUAAGAAAUUCUAUGAGGCAUUUUCUAAAAAUCUCAAGCUUGGAAUCCACGAAGACUCCACUAACCGCCACCGCCUGUCUGAGCUGCUG